CAGUCGCCGCGGUAAUCCGUAGGUGGCAAGCGUUGUCCGGAAUUAUUGGGCGUAAAGGGCUCGCAGGCGGUUUCUUAAGUCUGAUGUGAAAGCCCCCGGCUCAACCGGGGAGGGUCAUUGGAAACUGGGAAACUUGAGUGCAGAAGAGGAGAGUGGAAUUCCACGUGUAGCGGUGAAAUGCGUAGAGAUGUGGAGGAACACCAGUGGCGAAGGCGACUCUCUGGUCUGUAACUGACGCUGAGGAGCGAAAGCGUGGGGAGCGAACAGGAUUAGAUACCCCCGUAGUCCCUGUCUCUUAUAA
rnacentral:rRNA from 1 species